rnacentral:misc_RNA from 1 species
CGACGACGACGACGACGGCUUAGUCUCUCAAAACAACCAACCAGCUUGCGCUUUGGAGAGUUUUUUAUGAAACGCUGUCGCGUUUUUUUCCGCCGCCGCACUAAUUAGAGAUAGUAGGAAAGUCAUCAAAUCGAUAUUUCUAUAGUUGCAAGGAUCAGGAGAGGGGAGGAUCAGCGGCGUUGUUCACUCGGCCAUUGUCCUUCGUACUACAGUGAUUUCCGCGAACGCGAACUCGAAAAAGGAGACGUACGAACGGGAGGUGUACAGCGGCAGAGGAGCACGAUGAAGGGGUGGCAUUUCAUUUUCGAUUGACCCAUAACAAUUGUCGAAUUGUUUAUAACAUUCUUGGAAAUUAGAAAGAAACUAUUUCUAAAACGUUUUUAUUUUUUUUCUUUUUCCAAUAAUUUUCCUAAUUAUCUUUCAUUCCGCUGCUGGUUCUUUUUUUGCAUCAAAUUUUCCAGUAAUAUAUGUUAUUUGCAUAUAUAUAAUCGAGUUUGUGUAUAUAGUAUAAUUUUAUUUCGGUGGCUCAUCGACGUCUCCCGUAGUAGGAGGUUUCUCGAACGCAGUGAAAAAAAAACGUGUGAUCGACAUGAAAUAUGCGUCCUGCAUGAUAAAUAAAAUGGGAUUCGUAUUCCAAUUUUUAUUUUAUUUUCCUUAAAGUGUGCAACGUUCAUGAUUUUUUCAAUUUAAUCAAUUGGAAAAUAAUAUCCGGCUGUUGAUACGGGGUCAAUUAAAUUGGCGUGUUUUUCUUCAAUAAUGGUAUUGGGGAGAAAUGACAAGAGAAAAAGGAAAGAAGGGGAUCUCGUGGAUCUUAUGGAUCCACUGUCCGAGUCACCAAAAAGGACUAAAGUGCACGCGCAGAGAAAAUUUGCUCAAGGAGCAGCAACCGUUUUUAGCCCAACUCCUUCAUUGGUCAAAGAAAAGGAAAAAACAAAAUCAGCGGUUGUCACCGAAUUGAUAACGCACAAGCGACCAAAUACCGAAGAUUUUCUCACCUUCCUAUGCUUUCGGGGAACAUCUAUAUUACCGCCAAGUUUGAAUUUCUUCAACGUUGGAUCUCGAAAAGAUAGAACAGAGGGUAAAAGCGGUGGCUCUGCCAAAACUGGAACGAAAACAUCGUCUACGUCGUCCGCUUCGGGGAGCGGCUGCGUGAUUUUAGGAAAAGGAGAACCGGGCGGAAGUAUACGGAGCAAAGGCGCAACAAAGAGUUCGACAACGAUGAAGAAAAAAGUGGUAGGAAACGUGGCAUCGACGACGCUGAGCAAAUAUAAAAACGCAACUUCAACGGUGCAGGCAUUAAAGAAAAAAUACCAAGAGCAACGUUUGGCGAAACAACGAAUAAAGAACAAAUUCAAAGCAUCGUGUGUAAUGACAACUCGCUCAUCGACCGAUCGUACAUUGCACAAAAGUCUUCCAAAAAUACAACCUAGAAAAUUUGUACCCAGAACCGAAAAAAAAAGACGAGAUGGUUUGCGAAGCGGUGGAUUCGUUGACAAGUCGAAAAAAGUAAUUAUUCCGAGGAGCAAGGUUACGAGAAAUUUGACCCCAAAGAGAAAAAAAAGACCAAGCAUAAAGGAAGAAUCGAGCGAGUCCGAAGAUUCGGAAACGACUACGUCCCACGAUGAGGAGGAAUCGCGAGCGAAGAAUUCAACGCUGAUUCGAAAAACAGGAACAAUUACGAAACCAAUCCAGAAGAAAAUAUGCACGAGAAGUAAAUCGGAAAUGAGAAGAAUUACGAGAUCUCAAAGAGAAAGUUCGACGACCAAGCAAACCGGUAUGUCGAGAAGACCAACGAGAAAAACGAAAGAAGCAGCUGCCGUUUAUAUGGAAAUAUUAGGUCGAAAACUGGUAAGUCCAGAGCUUGAAAAUGAGGAUAAUAUUUCAGUGGACAGUUUUCCCGAGUUGCCGAAUGCCCGACGCACCGCACAAGCGGAAAAUGAAAUAAGAGCGAAAACUAAUAAAGCGGUGGCGGCGGGAUCGGGAACAACGGUUAAGAGCGUUAAAGAGACUAAGCAAAAGGAUUCAAACAAUGAGGAAAAUAUAGCGAGCAGAACGAGAACUAAACCGGAAAAGGAUCGGAUUUCGAAGAGCAAAAGGACACUUCGAGUCAGAAGAUAUUGCGAAUUGGACAGUGAAGACGAUUCAGAAAGUUCGAUAGAGCCGGAAAAGCCGAAACAGCAGUCGACGCCACGUCGGCGGAGGCCGGCCAAAAUUGAACAACCCUCGCCUCGAAGUUUGCGUUCCUCUUCGCGGAAUCAAUCGGCGAAAGUUGAAAAAGUCAGUAUCAAGAGGACGAAAGAAAGAUUGGCCAAGCGUCCGAAAGCAGUGAUAAAAAAGUCGGUAGUAGAGCACGAGGGGAGAGAUGAUUCCGAAGGGGAAGAAUCAUUGGUGAAUUUAUUGAACAAAAUGAGCAAGAAGAGGGGGAACCUCGAAAAAGUUGCAAAAUCGGCUGGAAAAGUUGAUCCACAGAGGCAGCCAAUAGAGAAUAAUGAAACGAAAUUCGAGGUAUCGGAAAGUACGAGACAAAAAGAAACUCUGAUCGCAGCGUCACAAGUCUCCGACGACGAGGAAUCUUUUCGAGGUUUCACGAAAAAGGCGAUAUCAAAAGUCCUAAAUUCUUGCAAUUCUCACGCAAGUGCGAAUCUUUUGGCGAGCGAAGAAGCCUCGUGCAAUCUCGAGUCGAGCCAAGAAGAAUGUCCAAAAAUCGAAAUUGGCACGAAAUCGUCUGAUAAAUCGCUCGAAAAAUUAAUAAUCGAUGAUUCAUCACGAGACUUGGGUAUAUCGAGUGUAAAAUCGUUUCAAACGACUACAAUCGUUGGGAAAAUUCAAGAGGAAAAUUCUAGUGUCGAGGCGUCCACGAAAUUGGAUGAAAAAUGCAAUCAUCCGGCGUUGAAUGUUACAGGAACAAUAAAUCUAAUGGAUAUACCGAUCAGCGGUAUUCACGGUCGUAAAGGGCGAGUCAACAUGUCGACGGAACAGAUUGAAAAAUGGUUGAACGACAGCUCUAUGGCGCGUGAAAAGUCACGAGAAAAAUCGGAGCCCGAAACACCUACGAAUUUUCAUCAUUUCGACAUGCCGGCGACGGCGAGCAAGGUAAAAUCCGAAAGUAGUAGUAAUCACUUGUCGAUACCAACGAGAAUUCAACAUCUCGUACGCCCGGUCAAUGUGACGAUAUCGAAGUUGGUAGAAAAGUCAUUGGCUCGUGAACGAUCCAACAACAAUUGUAACAAAAUAAUCACCAAUAUCGUCGAACUCGAACGUUUUUCAAAUAUUACAAAACAGUUGAAUAUUCCAACGCCGAACAGGAACAAAAUAAACGCGGAUAUAAAAGAGAUAAUAAAGGGCCGGAAUGGUAAAGGAGGAACGAAGGAAGAUAAGUCAACGACGGGAGAGGAGAGCGACGGUGUUUCAAAAUCUGAUCAAAAUUCGGUCGACGGUUCGUCGCCGGAGAAAAAAACGACGCCGGAGAAAAAGCCAAUGUUUCAACAGCGAAAAACAUUUUUGUCAAAAGUUAAGGAACGGAAAACCACGAUUCCUAGUGCAAAUGCCUUUUCACCGGAAAACGAGAGUAGCGUUUAUGCUUUUGAGAGCGACACGGAAAUACCGAUAAAUACGCCAUUUCGUAGAAAAUUCAAGGAACAAACUAACAAGCAAAAUUUCGGAGAAUCGGAAAUACCAAGACCGCCGCCGGAAUUCGUUGAGAAUUCUUUGACUAAUAAAUCAAUUAACGAUGAUGAUUUGAGAAUUGACAAAUUCGUUGUUCCCAAAACUUUUGGAAAUUUGUCUCAGAUGCAAGUUUUGCCGUUGGAUAAAAUGUCAGCCGAAUGGAGCGCUAUCAAUUGCAAUGCCUCAAUCGCGGUACAGGUGAAUUUUGAUGAGCAGUCACGAGAAAUUCAGCCUUCCCAACAGCACCAACAGCAGCAGCAGCAGCAGCAGCAGCAGCAGCAGCAACAGCAACAAAAACAACAACAACAACAACAACAAGAUAAACAACAAGAGCAACAAGGACAAACAAGGGAUGGUAAAUUAUUAGGAAAAGAGGAGAAAUCGAUGGUACAAGAUAAAAAUGAGGACGCAGUUAUUGGGCAACAAAAGUCGACGGAAAUAUCGACGCAGACAGAAAGCACGAAUGAAAACGAGAACGAGAACGAUGGUCACGUUUUUUAUAUACCGUUGCAAACUGUCAGUAGAAACGGACCGAAUCUAGUUCAAGGUCAACAAUUGAUACAGGGAGUCGCUGUUAAAUUGGGCACUGAAGGUCCCAACGGUCCCAAUCAAAGAGUCUUGUUAAGAGCUCAAUUAGUCACGAAACCACCUAUAACCGUAGCUCGGUGUCCUCCUGUCGGUACCGUCCAACCGACAACUCGCAAUCCACCAAAUUCUUCUAGCUCUACCACUUCCGUUCUCGACCAUCCCUACGCCGUCCUUGAUCCUAUCCAUCAGCAACAGCAACCCUCCACUUCGGGCAAUUCUAACGCUUGUCUUCUUCAAACCAUUACGGAUUCCGUUACUUCUCAGACUCCAACUCCAUCGGGUUCCAGUCCAGCCAGCAGACUCGUUGCUUCUCAUCUCAAUGCCAAUGAAACAACUAUCGCUACUGCUACAAAAUCACCGAAAAGUGUCCGUGAAAGAAAACCUUCGGUCGAUUCGACCAAAACUGCCAAAAGAGUUUCGGCAAAAACACGACAAAAAAUGUCCGAAAUCUUAUCGCCUACGAACUCGACAAUAUUUCCCGGCUCGGGCAACUCGAUGAAAACGGAAGCACGGCUCGUUGAGGCACCGACCUUUCAUCCGACCGAAAAAGAUUUUCAGGAUCCCCUCGAGUAUAUCGAUAAAAUAAGAUCGAUCGCUGAGAAAUUUGGUAUUUGCCGAGUCGUACCACCUGCAAAUUUCAAGCCUGAAUGCAAAGUUUCGGACGACAUGCGUUUCACAGCGUACAAUCAAUACGUUCAUCGCAUGUUGCAUCGUUGGGGUCCGAAUGUCAAGGAAAUGAUGGCUAUUAAGAAAUAUCUUGCGACACAGAGUAUCACUCUUACUCAUCCUCCAUGGAUCGGUGGAAUGGAAGUGGAUUUGCCGCACUUAUACCAAACGGUGCAGAGUCUCGGUGGUUUGAAGGAAGUAAUUGAGAAGAAAAAAUGGCAAAAAGUUGCUGACGGUAUGAAAAUACCAAAAUCUGCGCAGGAUCGUGUCACCAAACUCGAUGAUAUUUAUUGCAAAUAUUUAUUACCAUAUGACACUUUAUCGCCGGAGGAACGAAGCAAUCUUUUCGACGACGUCGAGGAAGAUUGGAAAAAGAGAGAAACAAGGACUUUGCAACGGCUCGAUGCGCAAUCCACCGAUAACGAUGACGAGGAAGACGAUGAUAGUUCGGACGAGAUUGAAGAAUGCAUCAUUAAAGGACGAAACAUGCCAUUGAAUGCUUUUUAUCGGAUCGCACGAAAUACUCAACGAAUGUGGUUCGGUGAGAACCAACGACCGGGAAACGAAGCCGAGGGGGCUUCGGCCAUCGAAGUCGAAGCUGCUUUUUGGAAACACGUGGCCGAGAGGAGACGUCACGUUUGUGUUCAUGCAGCUAGCAUAGAUUCGAGCGGGCGAGGUUUUGGUUUUUCCGUGGCUAAAAACAGCCCUUUCGCAAGACAUCCGUGGAAUCUCAAAGUUCUUACCAAUAACGCUGGCUCGGUAUUACGAGCUUUGGGCCCCUUGAUGGGAGUUACCGUGCCAACCCUCCACGUGGGAAUGCUCUUCAGUGCUUGUUGUUGGUAUCGCGAUCCUCAUGGACUUCCCUGGAUCGAGUACCUUCACACGGGAGCCAAAAAAAUUUGGUAUGGAAUUCCGGACGAGCGCAACAAUCAUUUUCGAGAAGCUCUCUCCAAAAUGGUACCGCGUUAUUGUAAGAAGAAAACUAUAUGGCUGCCGUCGGACACCGCCAUGGUGCCGCCGGAAUUAUUAGUCAACAAUGGUGUACCCCUGUGCCGUACCGUCCAAGAGCCUGGACAAUUCAUCAUUGUUUUUCCAAAAGCCUUUACAUCGAGUAUCUGCACCGGUUAUGUCGUAUCCGAGAGCGUUUACUUCGCCCAGCCUGCCUGGCUCGAAAACGCCGAACAAGUAUUUAAAGAUUUACAGGACAGCUGUGAACCAUCGAUAUUCUCCUUCGAAAGACUCUUAUUCAGCAUCAUCAAUGAUUCUCGCUCUCAGUACGAUGUGUUGAAACAGAUUAUGCCAGUUGUGAUAAAAAUUCGUGAACGCGAACACGAGUACAGGAAACAAUUGGAGUACAUCGGUUUGGUGGACAAAGAAAAAUUACCACUGCCAGGUACGGGAAAAGGAAAGAAAGGGAAAAAAAUCAAGGAGGAAGAUGGUGACUUUGAGUGUGAGACUUGCCGGGCCAAUUUGUUCGUUUCUCUCGUAAAUAAUUCACAAGACGACAGCAUGUAUUGUCUACCGCACGCUCUCCAAAUGAUCGUACGGAAGAAGCAAGUACUGAAAAAUUGUACUCUCAUGUACACGUAUACGGAGGAUGAAUUGGAUGAUUUGAUACACAAGUUGGAAGAUAGAAUCGAAGCCAAGUCGAAGAAACCUAAUCAAAUCAGGCAAUCUAAAUAGUAAUUUACUCUUAUUAUACGGAUAUAUAAUUUAUUGGCAAAAAUUAUACGUCUUUUAUAGAUAUUUAUAGACUUUCGUGAAUUCUGAUGUGAAUUUGAAACAAGCAGAGUCUCGUCAGAAGUCUUACACCUCUUAAGGUGAUGGAGCAGUCGCUAUCUCGCCACCGUUGGAAAAAAAAAUGAAUACUAGAAAAUUAGUAAAAAAGAUGACAGCACCUCUCUUCUAUUCGUAUUCUAGAUUUUAUUGACUCGGUAUCGUUGUGUGGAUUUUUUUAUUCCUUCACUUCUCAAUCGCCGAUAAUUCAUAAAAUGUGAUAAACGAUGGAAGCAGAAUGUUAGAAUUGUAAUAGUCGAAUUGAAAGACGAUCGAUCGAGAAUGAAGAAAGAAGAGUAAAAAAAAAAAAUAAAAUAAAAUAAAAUAAGGUAUAAUAGCGCAUAAUGCCAAAUUUCAAUCGGUUUCUGUGCUUCUCACUAUUGGCCCGCGUCGUUGUCCUUCGGUGUUCAAAGAUCGAUAUUACCGAUUUAACCAAGUGCCAAAAAAUCCACUUUUUUCAAUGUUUUUUUUCUCUUCAUCAAUCAAUCGUUAUUGAUAACAAAAAAUUGAAGGUAAAUAAUUAGUAUAAAUGUCCGUAGUAGUAAAUUUAUUUGUUCAUAGAUUUCGAUUCUCCAAAAAUUUGUAAUAGCCUUUUUUUUCUCGUUACUCCUUCAUUAUACUCGAAGAUAUAUUUUACUCGCAAAUUUUACAAGACAAAUGUAUGAAAAGCCCAAAUAUUGAAAUAAACAUGUUUUCCCUUCGGUGAGCAAUAA